rnacentral:pre_miRNA from 1 species
UUAGUACUUCCUUCGUCUCAAAAUAAGUGACUCAAAAAUGACUCAAUUUUACACUACUUUAGUGUAAAAUUGAGUCACAUUUGAGUCACUUAUUUUGGAAAGGAGGGAGUACUUA